rnacentral:tRNA from 1 species
GCCCUGAUGGUCUAGCGGUAUGAUUCUCCCUUAGGGUUGCGAAUAGCUACUCAGUAUGGGAGAGGUCCCAGGUUCGAUCCCUGGUUAGGGCC